rnacentral:rRNA from 1 species
UCAGCUCGUGUCGUGAGAUGUGGGUUAAGUCCCGCAACGAGCGCAACCCUCGCCUCUAGUUGCCAGCAUCGGUUGGGCACUCUAGAGGGACUGCCGGCGACAAGUCGGAGGAAGGUGGGGAUGACGUCAAAUCAUCAUGCCCCUUAUGACCUGGGCUACACACGUGCUACAAUGGGCGGUACAAAGGGCUGCGAACCCGCGAGGGGGAGCGAAUCCCAAAAAGCCGCUCUCAGUUCGGAUUGCAGGCUGCAACUCGCCUGCAUGAAGCCGGAAUCGCUAGUAAUCGCGGAUCAGCAUGCCGCGGUGAAUACGUUCCCGGGCCUU